CCAGAGCCUGUUUCACUUCCCCAUGGUUAACAUUCUUAUUUCUGCCUUAGCCGGGCCUUUGCUCGUCCUUACUAUAGCCCUAAUUCUUGACCCCUGUCUAGUUAAUCGGCUCUUUGACUUUGUUAGAUCCUGUAUUAAUUUAGUUAAGUUACUGUUGGUUAGAGGUCCCCGUUAUCAGACCCUGGUGUCUGCCUUCUUUGCACCCUAUAAUGAGGCAGCCCCCACCACGUCAAGGGUGUGACAUGGUACACAAAAGAAGUGGGGAAUGUAAUGCAGAACAUUAUUUUACCAUUUAGGUAGUAGAACCCUUUAGGCCAUGGAAAACUCCAAAUUCCUUAGCAAGACCCUUAUCUGGCUGCUCAGGCCACAGCCCUCAGAUCAUAUCUCUGGAAGCCUCCAUUGUGAGAAAGUUUGCACAGCAUUAUCAUAUCUACACAGAGGGAGAAGGGUGUCCUUGACCAGCUCCCAAAAAAACCUCUUCCUCUUGCCAGACUUCAAAGAUCCAUCCCCCUCCCUGUCCUGUAUACUCCCUAUAUAAACCCUAGCUCAACCCUUGAUGGCUGCUGCUUGAUUUGGAUGUGAAUAUCCCUGGCAGCUGCGUGCUAAUAAAGUCCACAAUUUAAAAUUAGCUAAUUUCUGGGUAUAACACUUCAACCUCCUGCUGAGGCAUAAAUGUUGAUAAAGCCAAAGCCUCAGAUAAGGAGAUAAUCUCUAGCCUGUGGGCAGAGCACUUGUUGCCUCAGUGCUUUCUACCCUCCCACUCCCCACCCCUUGAGAACAGCUGAUCUCCCUCCUCACUCAUCCCUGGAGAUGAGCGACUGGCUAAGAGUAUUUAGGUGUCACACAUGGAAAAGAGAGACAGACAGUUUCAACUUCUUGUCCAUCUCUUCUUCCCUUUGAGAAAACCCAGUCCAGGGAUUCCUCAGAGACUGAAUGAUCUGCUUCCCACUGAUAAAGAAGGCCCUCUUUGGGCUUUUCUUCUUGAUACUAACUGUUUCCUCAGGUCUUUCCAGAAAGGAAAGUCAAAUAGACCUGCCUGAAUGUAUCAAGUAUUUAAGCCAACCAUCAUACCACUGCACCCAAGAGUACAAUCCUAUCUGUGCCCAGAAUGGUAUAACAUAUAAAAAUGAAUGCAUAUUUUGCAGUGCAAUGAGGUAAGUAUAUAAAGCAAUAUUCUGAUUCUUCCUGAAUAUAGCAAAAGCAUUCCCAGGAACCAAUGACUAGGUAUGUUGUUACUUAAUUUCCAUUCAGUUUAAUCCUCAUAAAUUCCAUUUCAUUUUUCUCAAUAACUUGUAAAAACAAUUUUUAACAUUAAUUUUCUAUAUUUUUUGAGUUCCAAAUUUCCUCCUUCUGUCCCUCUUUAACACCUGCUUGAGAAAGCAAGCACUUGCUAUAAAUUGUACAUCAUGUGCAGUUAUGCAAAAGAUAUUUCCAUAUUAGCCAAG
rnacentral:lncRNA from 1 species